UACGUAGGGUGCAAGCGUUAUUCGGAUUCACUGGGCGUAAAGAGCACGUAGGCGGUUUGCCAAGUCUGAUGUGAAAUCCCUGGACUCAAUUCAGGAACUGCAUCGGAUACUGGUUUACUCGAGUAUAGGAGGGGAGAGCGGAAUUUCUGGUGUAGAGGUGAAAUUCGUAGAUAUCAGAAGGAACAACGGCGGCGAAAGCGGCUCUCUGGACUAUAACUGACGCUGAGAUGCGAAAGCGUGGGGAGCAAACAGG
rnacentral:rRNA from 1 species